rnacentral:rRNA from 1 species
AACUCCUUCGGUAACGCAGCUAACGCGUGAAGUAGACCGCCUGGGGAGUACGGUCGCAAGAUUAAAACUCAAAGGAAUUGACGGGGACCCGCACAAGCGGUGGAUGAUGUGGAUUAAUUCGAUGCAACGCGAAAAACCUUACCUACCCUUGACAUGCCACUAACGAAGCAGAGAUGCAUUAGGUGCCCGAAAGGGAAAGUGGACACAGGUGCUGCAUGGCUGUCGUCAGCUCGUGUCGUGAGAUGUUGGGUUAAGUCCCGCAACGAGCGCAACCCUUGCCGAUAGUUGCUACGAAAGGGCACUCUAUCGGGACUGCCGGUGACAAACCGGAGGAAGGUGGGGAUGACGUCAAGUCCUCAUGGCCCUUAUGGGUAGGGCUUCACACGUCAUACAAUGGUCGGUACAGAGGGCUGCCAACCCGCGAGGGGGAGCUAAUCCCAGAAAACCGAUCGUAGUCCGGAUUGCAGUCUGCAACUCGACUGCAUGAAGUCGGAAUCGCUAGUAAUCGCGGAUCAGCAUGUCGCGGUGAAUACGUUCCCGGGUCUUGUACACACCGCCCGUCACACCAUGGGAGUGGGGUUCACCAGAAGCCGUUUGCCUAACCGCAAGGAGGGCGGCGACCACGGUGAGCUUCAUGACUGGGGUGAAGUCGUAACAAGGUAGCCGU